AGGGGUGCUUUGAUUGUGCUUUUCCUGCAUGGCAGAAGGAGUUGAACUGGAAGGGCCCUGCGGGUCUUCCACUGGAAUACUGUUAAGUUAAAGUUGGUCAAAAGUUGUCGGUUGCAGUUAUAUAUACAUUUUAUAUAAUAUAAUAUAAUAUAAUAUAAUAUAAUAUAAUAUAAAAAUAUUUCUUGGACCCCCAUGAGAAACUUUUGCUUAAAAAAGGCUCCAUGGCUGAAAAGUUUGAGAACCUCUGUUUUAGAACAUUCCUGAUCAUGGGAAGGAUUUUCCAUAUAUUUAGCUAAAUGCACAAUAAGCCUUUAGAAACUUCACAGAAACUUUAAGGACUAGGAACUGUAUUCAUUAGGGUUGUCCAAAUAUUCGUUAUGUUUCUCGUUUCGUAAUUAUUUCAGAUUGUUCUCGUUUUUUGAAACGAGUAUUGAAACGUUUUCCCUGGGUGCAACUGGCAAUGUAAUUCGAACCAUCAUUGGCCCAUUCUCUAAUUGUUUCUUAAAAUUUUCGUUAAUUUUUUUCCUUCCAAAAAUUUUUUAAAGUAUUUUUUAAAAAUUAUUUUUUAUUUAUUUUUUUGUUUCUGCAACCUAACAUGAAUGGGAGCCUAGUGCAGCCUAACAUGGCCGCUCCCUGGCCAAUCAGAGUCUUCCACGAUGGCUGCCAAAGGUGGGGGCUAGCGUCCUCCGUGUCCACGUGGAGGAUCUCUAUGAAAAUCCCCAACCGCAGCUGACCCAAGCCAUUCUGGGUUGGGAUACCGAGGAGAGAGGGUGUUUGGCGCACACUGGGAAGCUGCUGCUUGCUUGUUUGGGGGAGAGAGGGCUAACUGGGGGUAGAGUGUUUCUGUUGUUGCUGGUUCGAUAUUGUGUUUUUUUGGGGGGAAAUUGGCUGGGGGCUUGGGGCAGAGUGUUUCUGUUGUUGCUGGUUCGAUAUUGUGUUUUUUUGGGGGGAAAUUGGCUGGGGGCUUGGGGCAGAGUCCUUGCUGUGGCUAUUUUUAGGGAACGUUUUUUUUCCAAAGGACGUCUGCGUUCCUGCAAAUGCAUUGCUUCCCUCCCGCUCCGUUUGUAAUCCCAAGCCCCCGGGCUGAGUGUUAUUGCAGCAAUCACAAAGACACACAUUGUUUUCAAACCUAAAGGGUACAUUGGAAGAAAUAGUUUCCAAAGGACGUGGGGCACCCGCCAAGGCAUUGCUUCCCUCACGCUCCAUUUCUAUUCCCAAGCCUUGGGCUGAGUUUUAUUUCUGCAAUCACAAAGUCAGACGUUGAUUUGAUUCAAUAGAGGGUCCACAGCAAUUUAUAGUUUCCAAAGGACGUUGCGAAUCCUGCCAAGGCAUUGCUUGGCGUGUGCUGCAUUUCUAAUCCAAAGUCCUCAGCCAGAGUUUCAUUUUUGCAAUCACAAGGUCAGCCAGUGGCAUCAUUGAUCAAAAGGUUCAAAGGCAAUUUAUAGUUUCCAAAGGACGUUGCCAAUCCUGUCAAGGCAUUGCUUGGCGUGUGCUGCAUUUCUAAUCCAAAGUCUACACAAGUAGAAGAGGGACUUUUACAGUGAUAAGAACCCAAUUGAACAGGAAAUAAGACUUUCAAACCAGGAACAGGUUUCUUCAAAUAUUGAAAAAUAGUGUAUUAUAAAAAGUUAUGAAAAUUCGCCAAAAAUCAUAGGAGACA
rnacentral:lncRNA from 1 species